rnacentral:lncRNA from 8 species
AAUAAUCGUGUUUUUGUUGGAAUGGUUCGUUCAAAAUGUCGGAGUGACGACACCAUCACAAGACGAGAAGGAAUGCUCAGCAGCAGCUCCAGAAGGCAGAGUGGCGAUACGCCUUUGAAGUCAGGUUUCACAAGAGGCAAACUGAAGCGACUCUUCCCUAAACCCCUCUGCGCACGGCCAAAAGGCCAUGUUCUGUCACCCAUAAAUGAGUCAACAUGCACUGAUCACAGGUGAGCUGCUUCAUCUGUUAAACAAUUUAUAACAAUCAGAUAAGGUUUGAGUCCCAAUUGGUAACCUAUUACCCAUUUAGAGAACUACGUUUGACCAGUGCCAUGGGGUGCCAUUUGGGAUGCAGACAGAUAAGAUUUGUAGCUAGCAUUAACGUGACUGCUCAUUCCUAGUACAUCCCAUUAUGUGUGCCUCAACAGAUCUGUCUCGUCAACUGCUCCCUGGAUGAACAGAAUACUGGAAUCAAAUGGAACUGUGAGUGAAAAGUCUUUAAACCAGUUUGUAUCUCCUCUGAUUCACUCGACUAACUUAUCACUCUCCAUUUUCUCUUUUCAGGAGAGCACAAUACAUUAUAGCACAGAAGACGGUUCAAGUUGAGUUAGGAACAUGUUUUUUUUUGUCAGUUAAUGGAUAAACCCAUGCUCACUUUGGUCCUUCAUGUUUUGGAUUGGUAAUUGCAAAUGGGUCAAAGUUUACUAUUGAAAGUAAUAUUUUUUCUAUGUGCAGAUUCACAAGUGGGUGUUUCCUCCCUCCUGUCGGAUUGUGAUGAGACUGACUCUGCUGACAUCUCCAGCGAUACUAGCUCCAGCAGUCUGCCUUCACCUGAGCAGUUCCGCAGAGAGAAAGUCUAUGAAGAGAUAGUGGCCUUCCCCAGUGAGGAGAUGUUGGACCUGAAUGUAAAGAACUCCACUCUCCUAGAUGUCAGCCAUGCUGAGGACAUCCACAUGCAGCAGCCUCCUAACCUGUCCUCCAUCAUUGACAUUUCCCAAAUGAAUGAUGAAAAAGAUCAGGAAAAAAGACGUUUAGCGCUACCCAUUAGAAGUACAUAUUCAGACAAGCUGUUCAAUGCCUAUGUGUCAGUUGAAAGCACACCCCUAGCUGGAGGAGUAACUGUGCCCUCAGUCCCCAAGAAAACACAAAGGCCAGUGACGAUUAGACCCAGGAAGAUCAAAUGCAGGAAGAGAGUCAAAUUUAGUGACUCUGUUACCACUGAGAAGAUGGUAGUGAACAAUGUGGAGCCUGUCAGUGACCACACGGUCAGUGAGAGGACCAGAGACACAGUAGACAACAGAGAGACUGCUGCCCCUGAAGUAGUCCCUCAAGUCCUGAAAAGACCCACACAUCACUCACCAGAGCAAGCCAAGUUCUUUGACUUUGCAGACGAGAAAGAAAGAAACACCUUCUUUCAAAAGUUGAGGAAGAGGUACUCCUCCGUGAGGAGUAUAUUCGCCAAUGUUGGUGGGCGUUCGACAGAUGCAUUUGAAGAUGAGGGUAAUGUUUGUUCAAAGAUAUAA